UUUGGGGUGCGAGUGAGACUCGGUGCUGGAUCGAGAGGUCUUCUGUCUGUGAGAGAAAAUCGCACGAGAGAGAGAUUGCGAGAGAGAGUGGUGGCGUGGCUGUGUGGUGAAGGAAGGCUGGAGAGUCAGAGACGAUAGUAUGGUGUGGCGGUGGGCCGGUGGGCCGGUGGCUGGCCGGAAUUCGACAGAGAGAUGAGAUGAGGGCUCGGUGAGGGUAAAACAAAGCCAAAGUUCUUGUCUUCCUCCUCAGGUCAAAAGCUCCUCGAAUCUCACUUCAUUUUGUGCUGCUUUGCGUCGCAACCACUUCAACUGUUUUUUUUUUAUCUUCCACUCGAAGGUAUCUGUCUGUGUCUGUGCUUUUUGGAUGAGCUAGUUUCUUACUUAUCACUCCAAAAGCACUUGAAUAAAAGCACUUAUUCCAGCUUUUA